rnacentral:misc_RNA from 1 species
UUGACAGAUAAAUUAUAAGAUGUCUUUUCAAAUUUUGCGGAGUCAUUAUCGCGAUACGAUUGUUUUGAGGAUGAAAAAACGUGAUAAAAAAAUUAUAAAGCAAAUUAUAAUUGAAGCUAUGCAAUAUCUUAUCGACAUACAACAAUCGUGUCCCGUAUUUGAAUUUUUGCCUACAAUCUGUUUUUCGUCUCCUGUCCGAAUCGUAGUGGACUCUCUAAUACUGCACCAGCUACCACUACGAACACUAAACGCUCACAGAAAAUAUAGUCAGGGUUAUAUAGCAACUGUUAAUUAUAACAAUAUUGAUUACUAUAUUUUCAAUUUCACAGUCGGUGGUAUAUGAUAAACUCAGUUACUAACAGAUUCAAUCAGAGUUGCACCAUCCUAGGACCAACCUAACCCAAUGUCAAAUAAGCAUUGAAAAAUCUUUUCUUUCUCAAUAAUUUCUUAUCGUGGAUCUCCUCUUCCAUUCUAUGAUAUUAUGUAGGUAUUUGCAUCUAAAGAUGCCUAUUUAUGUUACAUUUAGUAUGUUGUAAGAAAAUAUCGAAGCACCAUGACAUCCGGUUGGUUCACAUAGAUAUGAUUCGUACAGGCAAAGUGUCACACGCUACAAAUUUCUUCGAAAAUGGUCGAGAUAUACAAAAUCUGACAGCUGAAAUUAAUAACUUUUUUUGUGUUCUCUAAACUGUUAUUGGAAAAGAAUAAAACAAUUAUAAUAAAAUCAACAUUAUUUCAAAACAAACAAAAUAAAUGUCUGUACGAAUUGGCAUCAACAAGAAUCAUGAAAACUGAAACUUCGAUGCAGAAAAUAAAGAUAUACGGUGUUAGGUACAUACUGCGGUAUAUCUAUGCUUUAUGAACGUCUUGUAAUAAAGUAUUAAAAAAAUAUCCCUGUUUACCUAUACUAUACGGUACAUCUAUUUCUAUAUGUAUAGCAAUAUAAUUUCUCAUAUUUGAGUUCAAAAUUUUAAUGGGACAUCAAAGUUUUGCUAAUAACAAUGAUAAUAUUGAUAAUAAUAAUGUUUACAUAUAUAUUGGAUAUUAUACCUAUAUGUAGGCAUAUGCGUAGUAUCAAAUAACAUUGGUUUGGUGGUGUUGAGGGUUGGAUUACGUUAAGUUAGUUUAAACUCCCGUGAAAUUUGAAGACAUUACUAUUUCAUGAGUUUGGUUCGAUCGGCAGC